rnacentral:rRNA from 1 species
ACUCCUACGGGAGGCAGCAGUGAGGAAUCUUCCACAAUGGGCGAAAGCCUGAUGGAGCAACGCCGCGUGAAGGAUGAAGGCCCUCGGGUUGUAAACUUCUUUUAUGAGUGAAGAAUAUGACGGUAACUCAUGAAUAAGCACCGGCUAACUACGUGCCAGCAGCCGCGGUAAU